rnacentral:rRNA from 1 species
ACUACGGGUGGCAGCAGUAGGGAAUCUUCCACAAUGGGCGCAAGCCUGAUGGAGCAACACCGCGUGAGUGAAGAAGGGUUUCGGCUCGUAAAGCUCUGUUGUUGGAGAAGAACGUGCGUGAGAGUAACUGUUCACGCAGUGACGGUAUCCAACCGGAAAGUCACGGCUAACUACGUGCCAGCAGCCGCGGUAAUACGUAGGUGGCAAGCGUUAUCCGGAUUUAUUGGGCGUAAAGCGAGCGCAGGCGGUUGCUUAGGUCUGAUGUGAAAGCCUUCGGCUUAACCGAAGAAGUGCAUCGGAAACCGGGCGGCUUGAGUGCAGAAGAGGACAGUGGAACUCCAUGUGUAGCGGUGGAAUGCGUAGAUAUAUGGAAGAACACCAGUGGCGAAGGCGGCUGUCUGGUCUGCAACUGACGCUGAGGCUCGAAAGCAUGGGUAGCGAACAGGAUUAGAUACCCGGGUAGUC